ensembl:lncRNA
AAGCAUCAGAGAGAGAGAGAGAGAGACAGAAAGGCCAACUCCAGAGUGAAAGUCUUCCCAGUGUGUGUGAGAGCCCGGCUGGAUCAGAGGAUAUAAGGUCCGAUGGGUCGCGCAGCACAGUGUUGACCUCUGGGUGAGCGGGGACUUCCAUCCUGCACAGGGCCUGGGAGAGGACACAGCGGAGGCAGAGAGGGAGCGAGGGGGAGACGGAACACCAUGGGGGGCUCCAUCAGCCAACACAGGAAGAACUCCAAGAGGUCUCCACGCAAGAGAGGCAGCAUGGCCGGAGGUGAGGGCUGUGCAC